AUGGCGGGGCUGGCCGGGGCGGGCGCCGGUGACCACCAUGACGUUUCGACGGAGGCUGCGGCUGCUGGUGGCGGCAGGAUGAAGGAGGCGGCCGUGCCGGCGGUUCACGGUGAGUCGACGUGCGGGGACACGCCGCCGUUGUCUGUCUCCAUCAACGUGCCGGACUCGCGGUCAGGGCUCCACCCCGGCAGAAUGCCCCGUACAAGGGACGCCGGCGCCGCACCACCAAGUGAGACACCACUAAGUGAGGUUCAGCAGCCGCAGCUCCACUCGCAGCCGUCCUGGGUGCUCAGAAGUGGCGGGGAGGUGCCGGCGAUGCCGCGGAGCGACAGCACGCGGGAGCGUGACCGCCGGUUCGAUCAGUUCAAAACCUUCUCCGGUCGCCUUGAGCGGCAGCUCUCCACCCUCCGAGGAGUGCCGCAGGACCCGCCGGCGCCUCACGUUGAUGACGGCUCCUCGUCCACUAACUCUGAUGACGACGACGUGCCCACGGCCGACCGCUACUUCGCCGCACUCGAAGGCCCCGAGCUCGACACCCUUCGCUCGACGGAGGUCCCGGUGCUUCCCAAGGACGAGACGUGGCCAUUCCUUCUCCGGUUCCCGAUCAGCGCGUUCGGGAUGUGCCUCGGGGUGAAUAGCCAGGCCAUGUUGUGGAAGACGCUCGAGUCGGAGCCCUCCAUGGCGUUCCUGCACGUGCACCCCACCGCCAACUACGUCUUCUGGUGGGUCUCCGUCGCUCUCACCAUCAUCGUCUCCGUCACCUAUCUCCUCAAGGUCAUCUUCUACUUCGAGGCUGUCCGCCGUGAGUUCCACCAUCCUGUGCGCGUCAACUUCUUCUUCGCGCCAUGGAUCGCUUGUCUCUUUCUCGUCAAGGGUGAGCCGCAUCCGGUGUGGGAGAUCCACCACGUCGUCUAUAACCUCCUCAUGCUACCCAUCCUCUGCCUCGGCCUAAAGAUCUAUGGCCAGUGGAUGUCUAGUGGAGAGCGGCGCCUCUCCAAAGUGGCCAACCCGUCGAACCACCUUGCAGUUGUUGGCAACUUUGUCGGUGCGCUGCUCGGUGCCAAGAUGGGCCUCAGGGAGUUGCCCAUCUUCUUCUUUGCUGUCGGGCUCGCGCACUACGGCGUGCUCUUCGUCACCCUCUACCAGAGGCUCCCCACCAAUGUCCAACUCCCCAAGGAGCUCCACCCAGUUUUUUUCCUCUUCGUCGCCGCGCCGAGCGUCGCGUCCAUGGCAUGGGCCAGGAUCUCUGGCGAGUUCAAUGACGGCGCCAAGCUCCUUUACUUCAUCUCACUCUUCCUCUACAUGUCGCUAGUAGUGCGCAUCAACCUCUUCACGGGGUUUAGAUUCUCGCUGGCCUGGUGGGCGUACACAUUCCCAAUGACAAGUGUGGCCCUAGCGACCGCGUUGUAUGCGUCAGAGGUGGACAACCUGUUGACGCGGGCACUGGCGGUGGGGCUGUCGGUGAUCGCUGUCGUGACCGUGACCGCCGUUCUGGCCACGACCUUGUACCACGCCUUCGUGUGUGGAGACCUCUUCCCCAACGAUGUGUCCAUUGCCAUCACGAGGAGGAAGUCCAAGUUCAGCAAGAUGCUCACGCAAAUUCGGUCGUCCAGCUCAGACGUCAAGGAUCUCGUCCUCUCCAUUCCCAAUUUCAGUUCCGGUUCCAAGCACUCCAGCACCAACUCCAGGGCGAGCAACAGCGCCGGGGAGUGUCCGGUGAUGGCGCACAUGCAUGAAAGAGCAGAGCGGGCGUUUGAUCGUCGGUGCACAACAGAUUGCAUGCACACACGUCUAGCUUAUAUUGACCAAUAG
rnacentral:rRNA from 1 species